UACGUAGGUGGCAAGCGUUGUCCGGAUUUACUGGGCGUAAAGAGCGCGCAGGCGGUCGUUCAAGUCGCGUGUGAAAGCCCCCGGCUCAACUGGGGAGGGUCACGCGAUACUGAUCGACUGGAAGGCAGGAGAGGGUAGUGGAAUUCCCGGUGUAGUGGUGAAAUGCGUAGAUAUCGGGAGGAACACCAGUGGCGAAGGCGGCUUCCUGGCCUGUUCUUGACGCUGAGGCGCGAAAGCUAGGGGAGCAAACGGG
rnacentral:rRNA from 1 species